GUGAAUGCCCACUUGGCCCUCUCGGAGCCCUCUUUCUGCCUGAGGAGGAUGCAUGCUGUUAGUUAUGGCAGAGUCCGGGGCUCCAGCUCUGAUCCAAUCUAACCCGAGCAGCGGGCUGCUGAACCUGGCAGAAGGAGAGCAGUCAGACAGCAGAAUGAUGCUUCUCAUUGCUCCUUGUCAGUUUGUUGCGGGGCUGUUUUGGCUGGCAGAUGGAGUGUGGAGAUGAGAUUUUGAGAGUGUUUAAACCCUAGCGGCAGGACUCCUCUUCAGGGUCGGUGGGGAGCAGACGAUCCGAUGGUCUGGGUGAGGGGAUUACAGGCAGACACAGGCAGACCUCCACUGCUCCGGCCUGUCGCAGAGGACCUAACGUGGCUCUCCACUGUGAAAUGCCUGUCAAUGUCAAGAAGUCAAGAAACUGCAACACACUUUUGGCUAAUGGUGCAGAGGCAGAAGAGAGUCGGGGACACAAAAACCUAUUCGCUCACACACAAGGACUUCUCGCCAAGAUAAUUAUAAGCUUUAUGAAAGUAGUGUGGAAGAAGGGGGAAGGAACCCAGCACAAGAAUGGGCAGACGGGAGGAGAAGAAAAUUACUUUUCCCCUUUGGCUCUGCUUUAUGCCCCUUCUAACAAGAGAAGAGAUGGCAAUGUAUGGAGGAGGCCUUCUUCAAGCUGGCAUCCCGGGGCUUCUGGUAGCAUAAGGCAAGGAAUAGUAUUCAGAAUGUCUUGUGUUUUCUUCUGUUCAUUAAUCCACCAAAACCUUUGACCAUUCCACAAUAACCAGCUCAUUACAUGGUCCAUCUUGAUCAAAAAGACGAGUAGGACAGACCUUAGCUGAAAUGAAGUCUGUACCAUUUGAAUAGGAGUUUGGUAUAGACCCCAGUUCUAAACAACACCAAAAAGAACAUCUUGUCUUUUGAUCAAGUUUUUUUCCUCCUUCAGCCUACAUCGAGUGUCUGAAUGCACUUAAUUAUCUAAAAAGGGAAAAGUUUGUACCUGUUGAAAAAGCUACCCUUCUAGCUUGCUCGGCCUCGUUAAUGCCAACAAAAAGCGAGAUGCGUACGAAUGGUCAGGGAGGACGCCACAUGCUGCGGAGUGCCUUUCAGAGAUGUCCCUAAUAAGAAUGCAGCGGUGAGAGCGGCUGAAUGCAUGCUAGGAAAGAUAGGCAGGGAGGAGGACAAGAAGAGAAAGGAGAAAAACAUCUUUUACCUCUCCUAUAAUUACUACAAAUAAAGAAUGGGCUAAGGAAGAAAUGGCAGAGGAGAUUUUCCAUUAUGACUGAAAAACCCAU